CCUACGGGAGGCAGCAGUGGGGAAUAUUGGACAAUGGGGGGAACCCUGAUCCAGCCAUGCCGCGUGUGUGAAGAAGGCCCUCGGGUUGUAAAGCACUUUCAGUGAGGAAGAACGCCUGGUGGUUAAUACCCAUCAGGAAAGACAUCACUCACAGAAGAAGCACCGUCUAACUCCGUGCCAGCAGCCGCGGUAAUACGGAGGGUGCGAGCGUUAAUCGGAAUUACUGGGCGUAAAGCGCGCGUAGGUGGCUUGAUAAGCCGGUUGUGAAAGCCCCGGGCUCAACCUGGGAACGGCAUCCGGAACUGUCAAGCUAGAGUGCAGGAGAGGAAGGUAGAAUUCCCGGUGUAGCGGUGAAAUGCGUAGAGAUCGGGAGGAAUACCAGUGGCGAAGGCGGCCUUCUGGACUGACACUGACACUGAGGUGCGAAAGCGUGGGUAGCAAACAGGAUUAGAUACCCUAGUAGUC
rnacentral:rRNA from 1 species